UACGUAGGGUCCGAGCGUUGUCCGGAAUUACUGGGCGUAAAGAGCUCGUAGGUGGUUUGUCGCGUUGUCCGUGAAAACUCACAGCUCAACUGUGGGCGUGCGGGCGAUACGGGCAGACUGGAGUACUGCAGGGGAGACUGGAAUUCCUGGUGUAGCGGUGGAAUGCGUAGAUAUCUGGAGGAACACCGGUGGCGAAGGCGGCAUCCUGGACCGGUAUUGACGCUGAGGCGCGAAAGCCAGGGGAGCAAACGGG
rnacentral:rRNA from 1 species